rnacentral:rRNA from 1 species
UACGGGGGGGGCAAGCGUUGUUCGGAAUUACUGGGCGUAAAGGGCUCGUAGGCGGCCAACUAAGUCCGACGUGAAAUCCCCAGGCUUAACCUGGGAACUGCGUCGGAUACUGGAUGGCUUGAAUUCGGGAGAGGGAUGCAGAAUUCCAGGUGUAGCGGUGAAAUGCGUAGAUAUCUGGAGGAAUACCGGUGGCGAAGGCGGCAUCCUGGACCGACAUUGACGCUGAUGAGCGAAAGCGAGGGGAGCAAACGGG